UUGAAAGGGAAACGAUUGAAGUCAGUCGUGCUGGCGCGAAAUCAGCUCGACCACUCGGGGAUCACGAGCCGUAGCGAGCCUCAAAACCGCUACGACUCGUGAUUUCUUGGUGGCCUGGUGCACUUUCGUGUCGGCUGGUUAACAUCAAUUUCGAUCGUCAUAAAAAGGCUGGAGGGAUGUGGCUCCUUCGGGAGUGUUAUAACCUUUAGCGGAAUGUGGUGGUCGGGAUUGAGGCUUGCAACGAAUACCUUCAGGGCUGUUCCACCUGGCCUCUCAUCGGCAUCCUGGCGGCGACAGCUUGCUGACGUUGUUAGGAUCAGCUUUCGAACAGGCUAGAGUGUGAGCAAAUUCGUUAAGGAUGUUGACGUA
rnacentral:rRNA from 1 species